rnacentral:rRNA from 1 species
GACGAACGCUGGCGGCGUGCUUAACACAUGCAAGUGGAGCGACGAACCGGGCUUCGGCCCGGGGCAAAGCCGCGAACGGGUGAGUAACACGUGGAUAACCUGCCCUGAAGACCGGGACAACCCGGGGAAACCCGGGCUAAUACCGGAUGUCUUCACCGUCCAUAAGGACAGUGAGCAAAGGAAGCUUCGGCCUCCGCUUCAGGAGGGGUCCGCGGCCCAUUAGCUUGUUGGUGAGGUAACGGCUCACCAAGGCGACGAUGGGUAGCUGGUCUGAGAGGACGAUCAGCCACACUGGGACUGAGACACGGCCCAGACUCCUACGGGAGGCAGCAGUGGGGAAUCUCGCGCAAUGCGCGAAAGCGUGACGCAGCAACGCCGCGUGGGCGAAGAAGGCCUUCGGGUCGUAAAGCCCUUUCAGCAGGGACGAAGCUCUGGCAGCGAAUAGCUGUCCGGAGUGACGGUACCUGCAGAAGAAGCCCCGGCUAACUACGUGCCAGCCGCCGCCGUAACAC